rnacentral:rRNA from 1 species
CCUACGGGUGGCAGCAGUGAGGAAUAGUGGUCAAUGGGCGCAAGCCUGACCCAGCAACGCCGCGUGAAGGAAGAAGGCUUUCGGGUUGUAAACUUCUUUUCUCAGGGACGAAGAAAGUGACGGUACCUGAGGAAUAAGCCACGGCUAACUACGUGCCAGCAGCCGCGGUAAUACGUAGGUGGCAAGCGUUAUCCGGAUUUAUUGGGUGUAAAGGGCGUGUAGGCGGGAGCGCAAGUCAGAUGUGAAAACUCAGGGCUCAACCCUGAGCCUGCAUUUGAAACUGUGUUUCUUGAGUGCUGGAGCGGCCAUCGGCCUUCCGUGUGUAGCGGUUCAAUUCGUAGAUCUACGGAGGAACACCAGUGGCGAAGGCGGAUUGCUGGACCGUACCUGACGCUGAGGCGCGACCGCGUGGGGCGCAAACAGGAUUAGAUACCCCUGUAGUC